GGGUUGUGAGGUUAAGCGACUAAGCGUACACGGUGGAUGCCCUGGCAGUCAGAGGCGAUGAAGGGCGUGCUAAUCUGCGAUAAGCGCCGGUAAGGUGAUAUGAACCGUUAUAACCGGCGAUACCCGAAUGGGGAAACCCAGUGUGAUUCGUCACACUAUCAUUAACUGAAUCCAUAGGUUAAUGAGGCGAACCGGGGGAACUGAAACAUCUAAGUACCCCGAGGAAAAGAAAUCAACCGAGAUUCCCCCAGUAGCGGCGAGCGAACGGGGAGGAGCCCAGAGCCUGAAUCAGCAUGUGUGUUAGUGGAAGCGUCUGGAAAGGCGCGCGAUACAGGGUGACAGCCCCGUACACAAAAGCGCAUGUGCUGUGAGCUCGAUGAGUAGGGCGGGACACGUGGUAUCCUGUCUGAAUAUGGGGGGACCAUCCUCCAAGGCUAAAUACUCCUGACUGACCGAUAGUGAACCAGUACCGUGAGGGAAAGGCGAAAAGAACCCCGGCGAGGGGAGUGAAAAAGAACCUGAAACCGUGUACGUACAAGCAGUGGGAGCCCCACCACUAAGCCAGUGGUGAACUCCACAUACGCAUCCUUUGCUGAGGAUACGGUUAACGGAGCGAAAGCGACGUUCAACCGCAAAACAAGCAGAGGGGGCUUAGUGGUGGGGUGACUGCGUACCUUUUGUAUAAUGGGUCAGCGACUUAUAUUCUGUAGCAAGGUUAACCGAAUAGGGGAGCCGUAGGGAAACCGAGUCUUAACCGGGCGUUAAGUUGCAGGGUAUAGACCCGAAACCCGGUGAUCUAGCCAUGGGCAGGUUGAAGGUUGGGUAACACUAACUGGAGGACCGAACCGACUAAUGUUGAAAAAUUAGCGGAUGACCUGUGGCUGGGGGUGAAAGGCCAAUCAAACCGGGAGAUAGCUGGUUCUCCCCGAAAGCUAUUUAGGUAGCGCCUCGUGAAUUCAUCUCCGGGGGUAGAGCACUGUUUCGGCUAGGGGGCCAUCCCGGCUUACCAACCCGAUGCAAACUGCGAAUACCGGAGAAUGUUAUCACGGGAGACACACGGCGGGUGCUAACGUCCGUCGUGAAGAGGGAAACAACCCAGACCGCCAGCUAAGGUCCCAAAGUCAUGGUUAAGUGGGAAACGAUGUGGGAAGGCCCAGACAGCCAGGAUGUUGGCUUAGAAGCAGCCAUCAUUUAAAGAAAGCGUAAUAGCUCACUGGUCGAGUCGGCCUGCGCGGAAGAUGUAACGGGGCUAAACCAUGCACCGAAGCUGCGGCAGCGAACGUAUCACUUAAAGCGAUUCAGCGGGUUACGAUUGACGGAGCGAAGCGACGUCAAAGCGUAUACAAAGUCGAGUCGGUUUAAGGAUACGUUCGUUGGGUAGGGGAGCGUUCUGUAAGCCUGCGAAGGUGGCCUGUGAGGGUUGCUGGAGGUAUCAGAAGUGCGAAUGCUGACAUAAGUAACGAUAAAGCGGGUGAAAAGCCCGCUCGCCGGAAGACCAAGGGUUCCUGUCCAACGUUAAUCGGGGCAGGGUGAGUCGACCCCUAAGGCGAGGCCGAAAGGCGUAGUCGAUGGGAAACGGGUUAAUAUUCCCGUACUUGGUGUUACUGCGAAGGGGGGACGGAGAAGGCUAUGUUGGCCGGGCGACGGUUGUCCCGGUUUAAGCGUGUAGGUGUGUGUUCCAGGUAAAUCCGGUUCACUUUAACACUGAGGCGUGACGACGAGGCACUACGGUGCUGAAGCAACAAAUGCCCUGCUUCCAGGAAAAGCCUCUAAGCAUCAGGUAACACGAAAUCGUACCCCAAACCGACACAGGUGGUCAGGUAGAGAAUACCAAGGCGCUUGAGAGAACUCGGGUGAAGGAACUAGGCAAAAUGGUGCCGUAACUUCGGGAGAAGGCACGCUGACACGUAGGUGAAGUGAUUUACUCAUGGAGCUGAAGUCAGUCGAAGAUACCAGCUGGCUGCAACUGUUUAUUAAAAACACAGCACUGUGCAAACACGAAAGUGGACGUAUACGGUGUGACGCCUGCCCGGUGCCGGAAGGUUAAUUGAUGGGGUCAGCGCAAGCGAAGCUCCUGAUCGAAGCCCCGGUAAACGGCGGCCGUAACUAUAACGGUCCUAAGGUAGCGAAAUUCCUUGUCGGGUAAGUUCCGACCUGCACGAAUGGCGUAAUGAUGGCCAGGCUGUCUCCACCCGAGACUCAGUGAAAUUGAACUCGCUGUGAAGAUGCAGUGUACCCGCGGCAAGACGGAAAGACCCCGUGAACCUUUACUAUAGCUUGACACUGAACAUUGAGCCUUGAUGUGUAGGAUAGGUGGGAGGCUUUGAAGUGUGGACGCCAGUCUGCAUGGAGCCGACCUUGAAAUACCACCCUUUAAUGUUUGAUGUUCUAACGUGGACCCGUGAUCCGGGUUGCGGACAGUGUCUGGUGGGUAGUUUGACUGGGGCGGUCUCCUCCUAAAGAGUAACGGAGGAGCACGAAGGUUGGCUAAUCCUGGUCGGACAUCAGGAGGUUAGUGCAAUGGCAUAAGCCAGCUUGACUGCGAGCGUGACGGCGCGAGCAGGUGCGAAAGCAGGUCAUAGUGAUCCGGUGGUUCUGAAUGGAAGGGCCAUCGCUCAACGGAUAAAAGGUACUCCGGGGAUAACAGGCUGAUACCGCCCAAGAGUUCAUAUCGACGGCGGUGUUUGGCACCUCGAUGUCGGCUCAUCACAUCCUGGGGCUGAAGUAGGUCCCAAGGGUAUGGCUGUUCGCCAUUUAAAGUGGUACGCGAGCUGGGUUUAGAACGUCGUGAGACAGUUCGGUCCCUAUCUGCCGUGGGCGCUGGAGAACUGAGGGGGCUGCUCCUAGUACGAGAGGACCGGAGUGGACGCAUCACUGGUGUUCGGGUUGUCAUGCCAAUGGCACUGCCCGGUAGCUAAAUGCGGAAGAGAUAAGUGCUGAAAGCAUCUAAGCACGAAACUUGCCCCGAGAUGAGUUCUCCCUGAGACUUAGAGUCUCCUGAAGGAACGUUGAAGACGACGACGUUGAUAGGCCGGGUGUGUAAGCGCAGCGAUGCGUUGAGCUAACCGGUACUAAUGAACCGUGAGGCUUAACCUUACAACGCCGAAG
rnacentral:rRNA from 1 species